GCACUAAAAUUUUCAACACAAUAUGUGCAUCGUGCAUCUUUUUAUAUGUUUUCUGAGAGUUUCUUUGUAAUUUUUUUAUCGCUUUUAUUUUUAUUAAUGUCAUUCAUUUUGCACACAAGAUUUUGGGUUCAAAGGUAGGUCUUGUUUUUUUGGAAAAUUUCUAUUCCUUUUUAGUUAUCUUGUGAUAACAAAAAUUUUAUAAUAUUUCUAUCUGUUCUCUAGUUUUCAUUACCUUUCAUCUCUUAUAGCAUUCCAUAAUCUCAUUAACUUUAGAUGGUCAUUUAAGCUGCAAGCAUGGCAUUGGCAAGUCUAUGAUAGAUGAUGAUCUGUAUGGGUUAGAUUGCUUAAUUUAUCAGUUUCU
rnacentral:misc_RNA from 1 species